AUUGAACGCUGGCGGCAUGCUUUACACAUGCAAGUCGAACGGUAACAGGCCUUCGGGUGCUGACGAGUGGCGAACGGGUGAGUAAUGCAUCGGAACGUACCCAGAGGUGGGGGAUAACGCAGCGAAAGCUGUGCUAAUACCGCAUGUGAUCUGAGGAUGAAAGCGGGGGACCGAGCAGCAAUGUUUGGCCUCGCGCCUUUGGAGCGGCCGAUGUCGGAUUAGCUAGUUGGUGGGGUAAAGGCCUACCAAGGCGACGAUCCGUAGCUGGUCUGAGAGGACGAGCAGCCACACUGGGACUGAGACACGGCCCAGACUCCUACGGGAGGCAGCAGUGGGGAAUUUUGGACAAUGGGCGCAAGCCUGAUCCAGCAAUGCCGCGUGCGGGAAGAAGGCCUUCGUGUUGUAAACCGCUUUUGGCAGGAACGAAACGGUGUCCGCUAAUACCGGGCGCUAAUGACGGUACCUGCAGAAUAAGCACCGGCUAACUACGU
rnacentral:rRNA from 1 species